AGGAUGAACGCUGGCGGCGUGCUUAACACAUGCAAGUCGAACGAUGAAGCCGGAGCUUGCUCUGGUGGAUUAGUGGCGAACGGGUGAGUAACACGUGAGUAACCUGCCCUUGACUCUGGGAUAAGCACUGGAAACGGUGUCUAAUACCGGAUACGAACUUCGACGGCAUCGUCAGGAGUUGGAAAGAAUUUCGGUCAAGGAUGGACUCGCGGCCUAUCAGCUAGUUGGUGAGGUAACGGCCACCAAGGCGACGACGGGUAGCCGGCCUGAGAGGGUGACCGGCCACACUGGGACUGAGACACGGCCCAGACUCCUACGGGAGGCAGCAGUGGGGAAUAUUGCACAAUGGGCGCAAGCCUGAUGCAGCAACGCGCGUGAGGACGACGGCCGUUCGGUUGUAACCUCUUUAGUAGGUAAGAAGCGAAAGUGACGGUACCUGCGAGAAAAGCGACCGGCUAACUACGUGCCAGCCAGCCGC
rnacentral:rRNA from 1 species